AGUGUGUGUUCACAACUUGGUAAGGAAAAGUGAAUCGCCAACAUCUUCUUUAUAGCAAAAGUAGCAGCAACAACAAUCCAGACAACAUUCAUAAAAAUUUGUAAGUUGCAGAUGGACGGACGGACGGAUAGUUGGUUGGACGAAUGGAUAGAUGGAUGAUGACCAGUCGUUUUAAGAUGAGCAACUUUUUGGGGUUCAGUCCGCUGUUGCCACAAGGAAUGUAAGAUGUGCAACUGAUUGCCAAGCAGGUUGCAACAUCUCGGCAGGAGUGCACUGUAACAAAUAACAAGAAGAUGAUGACGACG